UUCCAACUGCUAUUAUCAUGUUCAUAGCUCCUUUGAGUAGGGUAGCCUUUGGAGAUCUCGAUUAAUUGGUUGAGGCAGGUUUCUUGGUUGAAAUCUUCACAAAAAUUAACAAGUGCUUGGCCUUGAUUGGAGAUACUGAAAGAAGAGACUCUUAAUUUCUGUUGGUCUAGCUAGGCGACAUUUCCAAUUAAUUUCUGAUCUCGGUGGGAGAAUCAUGUGGAUUGAAACCUGAAUUCUCUGAACUCGGUACAAAGAAAACGAUAGGGGUGAAGACUGAAGAGAGAAAUUCAGGGGGUGAAUUGAGG
rnacentral:lncRNA from 1 species